rnacentral:lncRNA from 1 species
GGGGGGAAAUAAAACAUUUUUGGGGUGAGCUAAAAGCCCAGUGAGUAACCAGUAAAAUCAGUAAUCAAAUAGUUUUCACAAAAAUUCAUUUCAUUGAUGUCAUGGUUCAGAAAUCAGAUGUACGUAUUUUUGCUCUCGUGAGCCAGUGAAAUCAUUGUAAUGUUUUAGAAGUUCAAUAAGUAACCGGGGGUAAAAAUGUAAUUUUGUUAUAGGUCAACAUUUGCACAGUGAGAGUAAAACAAAAGCAGAAAAUGACACCACAUGGUAAUUCCACAAAGCUCAAUGAGCUAAAAUCUCAAUAAGGUUCCGAACAUGAAAUUUCAUAACAAAGCCAACACAUUAACCAUCAAUAAUCAAUAAUUCAAGAAACAAUUACAAUGGAAAGCGAUAGUAACAUAUUCAUUAAAAGGAUACCGCUCACAUGGAGCUAUUCAUUUGUUCGUUCCCCUGACAUUUCCCCUUAUUCCUCCAAUUAUUUGAAAAUUUCAUUUUU